AUUGAACGCUGGCGGCAGGCCUAACACAUGCAAGUCGAAUGGUAACAGGAAACAGCUUGCUGUUUCGCUGACGAGUGGCGGACGGGUGAGUAAUGUCUGGGAAACUGCCUGAUGGAGGGGGAUAACUACUGGAAACGGUAGCUAAUACCGCAUAACGUCGCAAGACCAAAGAGGGGGACCUUCGGGCCCCUUGCCAUCAGAUGUGCCCAGAUGGGAUUAGCUAGUAGGUGGGGUAACGGCGCACCUAGGCGACGAUCCCUAGCUGGUCUGAGAGGAUGACCAGCCACACUGGAACUGAGACACGGUCCAGACUCCUACGGGAGGCAGCAGUGGGGAAUAUUGCACAAUGGGCGCAAGCCUGAUGCAGCCAUGCCGCGUGUAUGAAGAAGGCCUUCGGGUUGUAAAGUACUUUCAGCGGGGAGGAAGGGAGUAAAGUUAAUACCUUUGCUCAUUGACGUUACCCGCAGAAGAAGCACCGGCUAACUCCGUG
rnacentral:rRNA from 1 species